AAAUUUCAACACAGAGGAGGCGGUUGUAUCCGAUGAUUUCCCCGCCCGUCUCCUCUCAUUUUCUUAAACCUUCUUUAUUCACACAUAUAAAUAUAAAUAAAUCUAAACAAAAUCGUUAAAAUUUGAUGAGGGGGAAGGGGUUUGCUGUUUAAGUUUAUUUAUUCAAAUCAAUUAUUUGUGGUCUUAAUUUUCUACGGUGCUUCUACCAUCCCGAAGCAAUCUCACCUUCCCUUUUAGAGAUCGGAUAAUUUUCAGUUCCCAAAUUCCGUGUUUAUUCUUGUGUGUUGGUCUUAUGGUUCAUGAAUAAAUUCUUAGUUUUUGAAUUGAGGAUUCUGUUUGAGCUUUGGAUCUUUGCAUCACGCUUUGCUUGUGAAUUGUGAUUUUCUUUGUAAAAGUUAACAAGUAAGAAUUCUGUAGUUUUCAGUUGGUAGCACAUAGAGACACAGAAAGCUGCAGUAGGAAACUUAUUUAAAGUUCAGCCUCGUGCAUGUGCAAGAUGGCUAGGGUUAAACGAAGAGAAAAUGUUGAUUUGGAUGCCCAGGCUUUCCAUAAAGAACUGGAUGAAGUCUCAUGUCCAAUCUGCAUGGAACAUCC